CCCUAAUCUGCCGGUCGAUCGGGACAAGGAGCAGCCACGAGGUCGAGGGGCUUCUCCUGCCCGAAGGCCAUUCCCACGGCCUCGUUCGCCGACAACGGCGAAAGGCUCGGCACUUGUCGUGGCCAUAUUGGCGCUAUGUGCUCAAUGAUCGUAUUCAUGUCUUUGACAAUAUACGCUAUUCUGAGGAAACUUGAAGUGCUGAUAAGAUACAGUAUGAGAGCUGCUAAUUCUGCCCGCUUUUGAUGCCUCAUUUGUGCCUUUAAUCUGUAAUUUCGGGGUUUUGCAAUUAAAUACUUGGAUUUUUCUUAAA